rnacentral:rRNA from 1 species
AAAGAGUAGCUAAUACCGCAUGAGAUCUACGGAUGAAAGCAGGGGACCUUCGGGCCUUGUGCUACUAGAGCGGCUGAUGGCAAAUUAGGUAUUUGGUGGGGUAAAGGCUUACCAAGCCUGCGAUCUGUAGCUGGUCUGAGAGGACGACCAGCCCCACUGGGACUGAAACACGGCCCAGACUCCUACGGGAGGCAGCAGUGGGGAAUUUUGAACAAUGGGCGAAAGCCUGAUCCAGCAAUGCCGCGUGCAGGAUGAAGGCCCUCGGGUUGUAAACUGCUUUUGUACGGAACGAAAAGCCUGGGGCUAAUAUCCCCGGGUCAUGACGGUACCGUAAGAAUAAGCACCGGCUAACUACGUGCCAGCACCCGCGGUAAUACGUAGGGUGCAGGCGUUAAUCGGAAUUACUGGGCGUAAAGCGUGCGCAGGCGGUUUUGUAGACAGUGGUGAAAUCCCCGGGCUCAACCUGGGAACUGCCAUUGUGACUGCAAAGCUAGAGUGCGGCAGAGGGGGAUGGAAUUC